rnacentral:pre_miRNA from 1 species
AUGCAAAUCACCAGGAUCUUGUUAAAAUGCAGAUUCUGAUUCUGAGUCUGGGGUGGGCCCUGAGAGCCUGCAUUUCCAAUAAGCUCCUAGGUGAUGCUGAU